rnacentral:lncRNA from 10 species
AGGCCCUACCCGUAGCUUCUACAUCCCUCUUCCAUCACAGCACAAGCACACAGAACCCUAAUUGGUAGUGCCAGAGACGCAGCAGACAGGUAUAGAAAAGAGGAGAUGGAAUUUGUGAUACACUAUGAAAUGGAUCACCAAGGGAAAAUUUUCACAAAUAGAAUGGAUUGCGGUUCCUGAAGGUAGUAAUUCUUGCCUACUUGCUUCAUGGGCUUGUUAAGAGAAUGAAAA